rnacentral:rRNA from 1 species
AACGAACGCUGGCGGCAGGCCUAACACAUGCAAGUCGAGCGAGGACUUCGGUUCUAGCGGCGGACGGGUGAGUAACGCGUGGGAAUGUGCCCUUCUCUACGGAAUAGCCCUGGGAAACUGGGAGUAAUACCGUAUACGCCCUAUUGGGGAAAGAUUUAUCGGAGAAGGAUCAGCCCGCGUUGGAUUAGGUAGUUGGUGGGGUAAUGGCCUACCAAGCCGACGAUCCAUAGCUGGUUUGAGAGGAUGACCAGCCACACUGGGACUGAGACACGGCCCAGACUCCUACGGGAGGCAGCAGUGGGGAAUCUUAGACAAUGGGGGCAACCCUGAUCUAGCCAUGCCGCGUGAGUGAUGAAGGCCUUAGGGUUGUAAAGCUCUUUCAGCUGGGAAGAUAAUGACGGUACCAGCAGAAGAAGCCCCGGCUAACUCCGUG